GUCGCACGAGAAAGGGCUUCGGCCCCGGUACAGUGGCGCACGGGUGAGUAACACGUAGAUCAUCUCCCCUCGAGUGGUGGAUAACUCUCCGAAAGGAGAGCUAAUACAGCAUAAGACCACGGCUUCGCUGAAGCUGCGGCCAAAGCAGGCCUCUACACGUAAGCUUGCGCUUGAGGAGGAGUCUGCGGCCCAUCAGCUAGUUGGUAAGGUAAUGGCUUACCAAGGCAAAGACGGGUAGCUGGUCUGAGAGGAUGAUCAGCCACACUGGUACUGGAACACGGACCAGACUCCUACGGGAGGCAGCAGUGGGGAAUCUUG
rnacentral:rRNA from 1 species